UACAGAGGUCCCAAGCGUUGUUCGGAUUCAUUGGGCGUAAAGGGCGCGUAGGCGGCGGGGUAAGUCGGGUGUGAAAUCUCAGGGCUCAACCCUGAAACUGCACUCGAUACUGCUCUGCUUGAGGACUGGAGAGGAGACUGGAAUUCACGGUGUAGCAGUGAAAUGCGUAGAUAUCGUGAGGAAGACCAGUGGCGAAGGCGGGUCUCUGGACAGUUCCUGACACUGAGACACGAAGGCCAGGGGAGCAAACGGG
rnacentral:rRNA from 1 species